UCUGGUUGGUGCCUGCUGCAGAUUUUCCAUGUAGAAGGAAUCAGCGAUGAAUCACAGUUUAUCCUCAUAACCGCCCUGGGAGGCGAGGGCAGUUAUCGCUUCUACAGAUGAGCAAAAAGAAGGUUGGAGACGCUCGGUCACUCAUCCCCGUCUUGGAGCUGGUGAGUGGAAGGUACUCCUGGAGAGAGCUGCUCACAGAUCCCCAGGGAGAUCAUGUCAAAGAAAAAGAAAACAGAGCUCACUGCAACAGUCCAGUCGCCUUGCAGAGGAGGGGCACCGAGAAGGAGACAAGGAAGGAUUUACUCAGACCUCUACUUAUUAGGCUUGGUAAGAUCAAAGAUGUAAAAUUUUGCCAGCUUUUAUUCUUAUAGUCAUUCUUUUAUUCUAUGAUUUAUUUACUUAUUAACUUGAUUGACAGAUAUUAAUUGAGCCUCUACCAGGUGCCUUGCUGAGAAUACAGUGGUGAGCAAAUCAGAUUGGCCCUGUGACAACUCCUAGAGAGGGAGAUGUUGAACACACACACACACACACACACACACUCACACACACACACUCACACACACACACUCACACACACUUUAAUUAUGCUAUGGAUAACUGCUUCAAGAGACAAUCUACUCUGAAGAGUCAGGAAAGAGUUCCCAGGGAAAGGAAUACUUACUGGAUCCCAGCGGAAGAGCAGGAGGCAUCCAGCCAAGCAGAUGGCAGGGGCAGGAGGAGUGUCACUGGGCUAGAGUCAGCAGAGCAGGAUCAGUGAGCUGCCUGGGUGUACCUCUAGCCCAUUGUCUGUAUUUAUAAAGUAUUAUUAGAACAGAGCCACACUCUUUGUUCAACAGUGUCUGCAAUCAUUUUUGUGCUGUAAUAGCCACAUUGAAAAGCCGUGACAGAGAUCUUGUGGGCCACUCAGCCUAAAAUGUUUACUGUCGGGUCCUUCAGAGAGCAGUGUCCACAAUCCCAGCCCUGGAGAAUCUGGAAGAUGUGGCUGGGCCACCAGCAGGCCUCCGUGUGGCAGUCACUCCAGGAGAUUGGGACAGCUUCACUGGGCAGGCUACCAUGGGCAGCAUCAGAAGAAGAGGAGGGGACGGGAGACUGAAGGAGGGAGUUCCUGCCCUUCCCAAGCAGCAGGGGAGCCACAGAGGUUUGCAGCAGGCCAGUGAGGGGUCAGCUUCGUGUCUUUAAAAAGAUUCUCCUUCUUGGUUAGCAGCCCUAGCGCUCAGGUGCAGGCUUGCUUUCCUUGCCUUAUAGGAAUUACUCAGCAAACAAGUGAUACAACAUUAGUGUGAAGUUUAGGUGGAAUUUAGAUUUAAUGGGAAUAUAGUUACAUCACAAAAAGCCCUGGAUUAUUUCAUGUUUUUACCUCAAGCUAUUUGUUUUCAGAAAGCACUCUUUCUGUCUGCAGACGACUCUCCAUUGUGUUUCCCUUGGCUCCCCACAACGUUGCCCUUUUUAGUAGCGAUGCUCCAUUUCCACACUGGGCUCAAAGCAAAUUAUCUCUACAGAGGGAGGGGGUUCUCAUGACAAUUAAGUCUCACAUUCACAUUUUAAAUUCAACGUGCCAGAUUUCUUUUGUGGAUCCCAAUUCCCCUAUUGAAUUGGGCAUGAAUCAGAAAUGCAGACCCUCAGGAGGAAGUUUGGCUGGUUGGGUCCACAUGCUUAUUAGGAGUAAAUGGUGGGUGACAUUUAUGGGCAAGAAGAAUGGUGUUAGUUGCCUUCUUAAGCCAGGCUGUGCUGGCCAGAGUCCACGAGCACUCCAGUCUGACCAUCUGGUCAACCUGGAAAUUAGCUGCGAGUGCUGGGGCCAGCCCAGGGGCCAGGGAGCUGCUCUCUGCAUGCACACCUGCACAUGGCACACGCACAUGCACACGCACAUGCACAUGUGUGCGCACUCCUGCACCUACUCUUAAUUGCUCGUGUUUGGUGUGAGGGCUAAUUUGAUGUGCUACCUUAACUGGGCCUUGGAGACUGGGGAAACACUGGUACGUCUGGGAAGGUAUUUCCUGAUGAGUGUGGCCUGGACUCCAUAGAUGGAGUAAAGAGGAUUGCUCUCAGACGUGUGGGUCUCCUCCAAUCUGCUGAUGACCUGAAUAGAAUAAAAGGUAAGAAGGAACCUCACCUGCUGACUGUGCCCCCCAGGACAUGGGUCCUUCCUGACCUGGGACUCAGACUGAGACACCAACUCUACGAGGUCUUGAGUCUGCAGCUCUAUGUGGGCCCUAGUGGGUCUUCAGCUUGCUGACGUCAGGUCUUGGGACUGCUUGGCCUCUGUGAUUGCCAGACUCAAUUCCUUAGAAUUAGUCUCUCUCUUUACACACACGCAGACCACCCCCCCCUCCCCACAAUCCCUAGAGAACAGAAGCAACUGGACACAGACCUCCACAGCUGUAGAGAGUGGUUCGGAUGGGAGUGGCUGAAAGUUGUGAACUAUCACUGCACAUACGGUUUCAUUUCCUCAUAAAAUUGAUUUUGGUUUGGCACAUGUUAUUGCCAAAUUCCUGGAUUUAGGAGUUGCCAGAUCUUUACUUAAGACAAGUAAGAGCUCAGGAAAAUGUAAAACACAUUUGCUAUUAAUUCCUGGUGAGAGGAUGGGCACCUGACUCCCAGGAGGCUGGCAUGACACCUGGGCAUCCCUGAGCAGCUGUCAUUUCACCCUCCAGAUGGGCUUCAGGCUGGCUCCAGGAGUUUGUCACCCAUGUUCUAGUCCCUGGAACCUGCAAGCAUCACUUUACAGGGCAAGAGAGUCAUCCAGCCGGGGCUCAAGGGUCCUAAGUGCUUGUAUGAGAAUGAAGCAGGGGGGUGGGCAGCUGUUAUUGUCUGAGAGUGACUUAUCCCCCAGAAAGGUCAUGUGCCCAUGCAGGAGUAUUCAGAGCAGAAAUGAUUGGAACAGGAGAGCUGUGACCUAAUCAGUGGGCAGUGCCCUUGCUGGGUUAGUAACUGAAGGACCAUGGUGCCGAGUGGUAACUGUAGGCAGGUGGGGUGUGGCUGGAGGAGGUGGGUCACUGGGGGAGUGCUCUUGGGAAUUAUAUCUUGUCCCUGGAGCCUGGUGCUCUCUCUGCUUCCCCACUGCCAAGAGUUGAGACACUUUCCUCUUCCAUGAAUUCUACCACGAUGCUCUGCCCCAGCUGGGAGCAGAGUGAUGGCGUCGGUGACCAUGGACCCAGAUCUCUGAAACGUAUGCCCGAAGUAAACUUUUCCUCCUCUAAGUUAUUCUCAUCAGGCAUUUGGGUCACAGCAAUGAAAAGCUGCCAGCACACCUGGCUUGGUGCCAUAUACCUGCAAUCCCAGCCAUUUCAGAGGCUCAGGAGAGAGGAUCACAAAUUUGAGGCCAGUCUUGGCAAGGUAGCAAGACCUCUCUCAAAACAAAUCAUUUAAAAGACUAGGGAUGUAGCUUAGUGUUAGAGUCCUCCAGGUUCAAUCCUUAGUACUGCAAGAAAGAAAGAAAGAAAGGAAGGAAGGAAGGAAGGAAGGAAGGAAGGAAGGAAGGAAGGAAGGAAGGAAGGAAGGAAACAGAAAACCAAACUUGGCAGAGGGUUAUGAUGCAAACAGAAGAGGUCACAGGACCACGAAGUCCCUCAGGGAGGGUACUGGGGUGAGCCAGAGGCUGGUGGGAGGGACUGCUCCUGACCCCUCAGAGGGAGCACAGCCCUCCCUAUGCCUCUGUCUGUGUUUCUGGCCUCAGAUGUAUAGAAUAAAGGUCUGUGGGUUUUAUCGACCAAACCAUGGGGAUGAGUUGUUACAGACAGCAUCCUCAGGAAACAAGGACCCCGCCCUGACGUGUUCAUGGCCUCAGUGAACACACAGGUGUCUCGGUUCUCCAGGAGGAGGAAGGAGGCAGACGGAGUGACCACGUACCCAUGGGUAUGCACACACACACUGUCCGGUGCUCUCACCUGGGCAGAGGUGGCCGAGCAGGCAGGGCUACAGGAAGCUGUUAAGCCCCACUGAGGCUUCUUUGUGUGCCUGGAAGCCACCGACCACUUUCCUCUGCCCGAGGGAGUGAGCUGCUCUGUGGGUACCACUCUUAACUGACUCCAAGAGACAUCUGGGGUCAAGAGACAGGGUUGGCAAAGCUCUCAGGAAAGUCCAGAGCAGUGCUGCCCAACAGAAAUUCAACAUGAGCCACAUACAAAUAUAAAAACUAAGAAUUUCUAGAACCCACAUUUUAAAAUAAGGUGUAAUUGGUUUUAAUAAUAUAUUUUAUUAAACUCAAUGUAUCCAAAAUACUAUUAUUGCCAUGUGCAUCCUAUGUAAAAUCAUUAGUGAAAUGUCUUAUAUUCUUUGUUCUUGUGUUGUCUUGAAAAUUCCAUUCACAGUAGCCACAACUCAGUGCCCUCGGCUCCUGAGCUGGACUGUGUGAGGAGAGUCUUCAGGGAACUGAGGGGCUGGGUUGGGCGCAGGGGUCUGCUCCCUUCUCUCUAUGUCCUCUGACUGUGAUGUUGGCUGUGUGUGGUCCUCACAGUGAUCCCUUGCAAGCAUCCCAAGGAAGCAGGGCUGUGUGUGCAUUUAUGUGUGUGCUAUUGGGGCCAUGCAAAGAGAACUCUGGAAAAGGAGGGGCCUGAACGAGGAGGCCAAGCAGACCCUGCAGUUAAAGCCAUGGCCGUGAUCCAGAGAUCUGAAGACUCCUCCUGACAGCUCCAAGGGACUUCCUGGGGGCUGAGGAAUGGAUCUGGGUGGCGGUUCUGAGUUCUUAAGUCAAUCAUGGAAUCUUCUAGAACAAGAUCCCCCCGUGUUGCAUCAGUUAGUGGAAACACUGGAUAUUCCAGGCAAGAAGUAUCUUUUGAGUGACGAUGGGAGGAGGAAUUGGCUGGCUUCAUUUUGCAUGGAAAGUUAAUUGCUUUUGGAAAGUUGUUUUCAGUCACAUGAGGACCACACAGAGGAAAAAAAACACAACAACAACAACACUGCCUUCAGAUGGGAGAUUCGCCAACAGCAACAAUAGCCUCUGCCUUUCUGAGACUGAUGGACGUCGAGGGCAACCCAAGGCAGAGCCAUUGUUUACACUGACAGCUUAACAGCAGGCUUGAAGGGAGAAGGAGAUGGGGUGGCAGAGGGAAGCUGUAAACACUUAAUCCGUCACAGAGACUUCCAGGGAACCAGGCGCCAUGGAGCCAGACCGACCAAGCCCUUAAUUGUUGGGCAAUUCGCUGUCUCCACUGCCCUGGCCGCCCUCGUUAGAUGCCAGCACGGCGGAGCAUCCGACAAGGACCGCCAGCGCGGGGAGGGCUCACGGCUGUCGUGGUGGGAUCGGCUCCCUGGAGAUGGGAGACACAUGAUGGAUAUUCACCUGUCCUCGGUGCUUGUCUCAUUUAUUCAAAUUAACUAGUGCCCAGAGCUGCAAAGAAAUGGAUCUGAAUUCAGACAAAGAUGAAUUGCAGUAAAAAUGGAAAUUAAAACUCAGAAAACUAAUACCAUCAGGCCACUGGAAUUUUAUUAGCUAAUCAUGGCUAAGAUAUUGGACUUCUGAAAACGCUGCUUUGAUUGAAUUUUCACCUUGGAUCCACGAGGGCUUGUCAGGAUGGUGUCUGGUGAUGCAGGGAGGGAGUAGCGCAGACUGUAAUGAGCUGUUGAACGCCCUCUUUCCCUCACGGUUUAGGUUUUUGGCUCAAGUAUCAUAGACUUUUGGAAUUGACAGUGCUUGAAGUCAUAACUUUAGAAGCCACCCCAAGACCAAGGUCAGGCAUCAUCCAGGGUCCUCAGGAUUGGUCUCUCAGAUCGGGUACCACGGUGCUCUUGGGAUCCUGGCAGAGCACAGCUGGAGGAGGAGACAGCAAGACUAUGACCUGGGGGUGCUCUAGCAGCUACUGCCGGAGCCUUACCUCCUGAGGGCUCUGAUGGCUGGGGACUGGCUUCCCUGUGCCCACAUCGUCAGCACCUUGACUUUAGCACGCCUCUGAGUGACGUCAUCUGCACCACACCUGUAGCAUCGGAGCUGCUCUUGCCUCAAGGCCCCUGUGUCUCCAGGGAGGACCUUGCUGCCCUGGCUGCUCGGCCUGCACUCUGCCACCGUCUUCCCAUUUUAGCAAGGGGACAUCAGACUGUCCCUAUCAGUUCUCCUGAUCAGACAGCCCAGGACAGGGAGUGUCCCAUUUCCUGCCUACGGAUUCCCCAGUGGACGGACCAUGCCCAGGGCCUGCCCUCCACCCGGUAAUGCAGAAAUGGAGGAAGGGAAGGACCAACGGAUGAACCUUCUCCUGGAUUCCUGAAGGACAAUUCCAAGUGGUGUCCUACGUGUCUUUGGGAUGGUUCCAGGCCCGAUCAUGUCUCCAUUUUCCUUGGGGGGUGUUACAGUGUGGACAGGGUUUGUCUCUGCCAAAACUCACAGAAUUUAACUGCCAAGAUAAUGGUAUUGAGAGGUGGCAGGACACUGGAGGGGUGGUUAGGUCACAAGAGUCCACUCUCAUAGCUGAUUACUGUGGUUCUGGUGGAACUAGGUCAGUUCUGAUGAGAGCAGAUGUUCCAAAGCAGGUGGUCCCCUUUGCCCCCCCCCCCCUGCACAAAGCUGCUUGCCCUUCUGCUUUCCAACAGUGGUCCAAGAAAUACAGGUCCUGGCUGGUGCCAUGCUGUUGGACUUCCCAGCCUCUGGAACCGUGAGAGAAAUAAGCCUCUUCCCUUUAUAAACUUCCCCGUUUCGUGCGUUCUGUAGCAGUGAUAGAAAAUGGAGGAGGACAGGAGCAUCCUGAUGACAUGCCCUUAGGUCGGCUUCCCUGCCCUUCCCUGGCCUUCCACUCCAGGUUCGGGGGUCAUCUCCCAGGAGAAUCUAGCUGCACGUGAGUGCUUUACACAGUUGCCAUUUUGGGGGUAAUCUGAGAACGGGGAACCCAGGCUCUGCACCUGUUCAGGUCCCAGGUCUCAACAAAAGCACAGAAAACAAUGCUGGCUCAUAAUCAUGGCACUCUCUGUGACACCAGGUACCACGUGAAGUGCUCCUCGGGCAUUAUUGUAUUUAAUGCUCACAAGCAUCUUAUGUGGUAAUUACCAUCUUACUCCCAUGUCACAGAUGAGGAGACUGAGUCACGAGAGGGGAAGGAACUCUUCAGCCAAGUCACACGGCUGAGGUUUGGGGAAACUGGGGUUGUAAUUUAAGGAGGCAAUCUUCGGUUCCACUGCUUCCACAAUUAAUUAAUGCUUUGAGAUGGAUGGAUUUGAUUGUGCUCCUUGAACCUGUGAAUUGCUGAGCGGGGCUCUGGGACUCUCCAGCUCUGCCUGCCACUUGGAGAUAGAAGGAUCAGAAAAUGAGGGUGGUGGACCUAAAUUAAUAUGAAGAAGGGUCAGCCCUUAGCCAGUGCCCUUAGUCUUGUCAUUUUUUAGGGUAAUUGAAAAUGGAUUGAAACCUAGAGAGCCCAGACUCCCGCAGGAUGGGGCCUCCUCCUCAGGCAGCGUAUUAAAAGCCCCCCACCCCCGCAUUCUUUCCAUGUAACUUGAUAAUGCUGAUAAAAUCAUUUAUCAUCCCGCCAGCGGUGCUCUCCUAUUAGAGAAUGUAACUGCAGGCUCCGAAUCUGGCUGAUCCUGACAUGCUUUAAUUAGGGCUUAAAAAUACUGCUCGGGCUUCUCAGGCAAGGUGGGUGUGACUCUGCAAGGGUUUAACUCCUCCUUGCCCUGGCAGAGCAAGGCAGAGCAGAGGAAAAUUCUGCACCUUCACUGGAAAAUAGAAAGGCUGCCAUCCACAGGCUGCAAACGAGGAGGCGUUUCUCCGACAGCACCAAGAUGCGCAGGGCUGAGGGGCCCCGGACCCUGCUGUCGUAUCCCGUGUUUCUUGAAGUUCCGCCUGAGGGCUAAGCUGCAUAUUGAAUGUCUGAAUGUAGGUAUGCCCAGCCUGGGAGGGUGGCACCCCAGCCAGAAUGCUCGGGUGUCUGCAUCUUCCUGGUGCCCCCGGGGCUCCUGUGGGCACAGGACCAUCCUGAAUGCAGACGUGCGGAUUUCCUCAUUCCAUGGUGAGGUGAAAUGUGUGCACACACGUGCGGCGCGUGGAGAACCAAGACUUCCCAGCCGGUGUCCUGGGCUCCUCGUUCCUGCUGCUGUGCCUGGGACCCAGGACGACAGUGCUCACCACCCCUCCGGCCUCUGCAGCGGCUUCUCAGCCCUCUGCACCCAGUUCCAGGCAGGCUGGCGCUGGCGAGCCUGGCCCCGUGGGGCUGGGGGCUGCAGGCUUUUCAGCAGCGGGUUUGCCAGGUAUUCCUGGGGACACUGGUUCUGUCAGAGCAGCCUCGCGGGUUGGUAUCGCUUAGUGAAGGUCACGUGUUUCCUGGGGAGCUACAUAGUCCACCCGAUCUCCUUGUGCCUCGGUUCCCAGCACACCUAAAGUUCACACUGGAGUGGGAGGCAGAGUUCCCCUGCACCUGCCCAGGGCCUCCAACUGUGGCUUUGCCAGUCCGGGGUGCACAGGUCACAGCUGGGCAGAGGAGCACGCCUGACAACCCACAGGCGUGAUCAAGGAGAGGAAGCAGGGAGGGGGGUAGGACAGGAGAUGAAAGGGGGGCCAUUGUCAACCACACUCCCAGGGGACUGUCCAGUCCGUCUGUGUCAGGGCCGACGUCCUGCCUCGGGUUGAAGAUUUUAGUUUUCAUAGAUUGGUUUCGUGUCAGUUUCCUAUGUAUGAACCCUACUCCAACAACAAAGGUAGGUAUGACUCUUCUCAACCAUCUCAGUAUUUAUUCAUUCAAAAAAAUAUUCGUUGAGACCUACGCCUGCCGCUCUUCCCAUUUAGCUGUAGAGACGGAACACUGGCCUUCAGAAGGUUGACCCUGGCUUCACAUGGUGUUAUGUUCCCUGAUAGGACAAAACUCAGGACCUGAGUGAUCCGUGGUGUCACCUACAUCAAGAAAGAAAUAGUUUUGAAAGAGUGAUUGUUAUGGUAACAGAACAAAUCUUAGUAUUGUUUUUCUUGUUCUCUUGGUUUUAUAAAAGCAUAAUGUGCUACCUCCGAGGUCUCUAAACUUUAACGGAAUUUUUUUUUUUAGUAUUUUUCUCUCUCUAGAUCACUUGUCCUUACAUUAAUUAACACAAAUCUUAUUCUUUCAUAUCUUGAAUAGAACAUUCACACACAUUUAUAAUCACUGAAACACACAGCACUCUGUAAAUGGAUUGAGUGUGAAUGACGCACACGGCACACACCUGGCGUUUUCCCAGUGGGAACCGUGAGGUUUUGUUAGCCAAUUCCCAUGAUGUUGGAUGUAGAUCUCUUCAGUUUGGGUGUAAUCAGCUCAUGUCCAAGUUUUCGAGCACAGGACUGUGGUGUGGGCAUGUGGUGGAGUUGUCAGAUGCCCCGUCAAGCUGGGUCUGAUCCAGGGGCUGUGAAGAGCCCCUCCCCAGCCUGGCAGCGCCUCUGCCGUGACUCGCCGUGAUGUAUGGAGGUGCCACAGCUUGUUAUGUCACAUCCGUUGAUAACUGCGUGUAAUUAAUUUGAUGCCAUCUGAUGCGGCAGCAGGUUAGACAUUUACGACAUAAAAAGUUGUCCAUGCCCCACGGAGCACAUCUGUUUAAUGGCAUAAUUCAAAUUAAUUUCCAACAAUUCCAUAAGCGCUCCUGGAGCAGUUCCCCGACUGCCUGACGUGCCCGGCACUGCACGAGGCCCCGAGGGCAUUCACUGGCAGCUUGCAGUCUGUGCACGUGAAGCACAUUUUCCUUAAACUCAUACUUUUUAAUAAUUUUAGACCUUCAAUGGUACUGCAAAAAUACUACUCAGACUUUCUGAAUCCUUUCCCUGAGUCCCCAGGCAUUAGGAUCAUCCUUCUUCAGUGAGCUAACCCUCUGUUGAUGUGCCCGUCGACCACACACGGACCUUGCUCAGAGUCCACCCCUCAUCCCCAGAGCUCCUUUCCUGCUCCAGGACCCAGCCAGGGUCCCCCGUGGUGGUCCUUCCUUUCUCCUCUCAACUGGGUAUAGUUCUUCAGUUUCUGCUUCCCAUGACACCGAUGCUAUUUUUCAGAGUACUGUCUUGCUUUUUUUUUUUUUUAACAGAAUGUGCCCCAGUUUGGUUUCCCUGUUUUCUCAGUAGGUUAAGAUUAAGUGUUUUGGCAAGAACAUCACAAAUGUGCUGUUGUGUGUGCAGCGCACCCUUUUGGGGUAGAUGUGCUGGCAUGCUCCUUCCCUGCUAGGGUUAGCCCUGCCUACGUGACAAGGGUGGCACCUGCCAGGGUGCUCCACUGUUACUGCCUUUCCUUUGUAUUUAAUAAUCAUCUGUGGGGAGAUAAGAAUAUUCAAGGGCUGGGAUUGUGGCUUAGCAGUAGAGCGCUGGCCUAACACGUAUGAGGCCCUGGGUUCGAUCCUCAGCACCACAUAAAAAUAAAUAAAUAAAAUAAAGAUAUUGUUUCCAACUACAACUAAAAAAUAAUUAUUAAAAAAGAAUAUUCAAGUGUCUGGUUUCCUCAUUAGCCUUUUUGCCCACUGACAUCAGCACCCUUUGUACCGUGGGCUGGGCCGUGGCCAGGACUUGGGGUCUGCUUUCCACUCCUGUGUGUGCUAACUGGACUCUACGGUAAGGAGGGGCUCCGUGCCCACUCCAGUGUUCCUUUGUUUUGGCUUGGGCUGGUGGAUGUGCGUUUUGCUCUGCGGUGGGCACAGGCACCCUGCUCACCUGGGCACUCACCGCGGCCCCUAUUUGGCUCUCAAGAAGGCUGCUCGGACUCUGUCUUCUUACUUGGUUUCCUGGGAUGUUGUUCCUCCUCCUCUUCCUCCUCAUUCUAAUUUGUCACAAAGCUCCGUCACUUUCCAGCACUCACAUGAAGCAUGUUUUAAAAUUCCAAAUGCCAUGGCUGGUGCUUCUGUAGCUCGCAGUAAAUCAACAAGAGGCAAUCCUGCGUUUCUCUUGGAGUCUGCGUCAGAUAACGAUGACCCUAAAUACGUCACUAUAGUUUCUUAUUCGGUAAUUACUUUUAGCUGAGAGUAUUUUCUAUUGUUGUCCCACUUUGAAUAACAUGGAUUUUAGGCCGAAAGACUAUUUUCACAUCAUUUGCAUUCCCAGAACCUCUCAGAGUGCCUUUCACAAGCGGGUUUUCAAUGUGCAUGACAGGGCUCUGGAGGACCAGAGGAGGAAGCCGGUUGGUUAGUAGGUAUGUGCAGGCGGGUCCCUCUCUGCACUCCUGGUGUGGGCUGGCUGGAGUGUGGCUCUGGAGUCCCACUCUUGGGAAAGCGUCUCCCUCCUCAAUAUGCAGGCACAACACCUGGGAUCUUGUUCAGUAGCAGAUUCUGAUGCUGGGGGUCUAGGUGGGCCCCAGACUGUGCAUUCCUAACAAACUCCCAGAGGUGCAGAUUCUGUUGGUUGAGAACCACACUCUGGGUGGCCGGAUGUCAGGGCUCCAAACUGACCACCUCUACUACCUGCUGAUGAGGCCUCUUGCCUGUGUCACGUGUCCUCUUUUAACCAUAGUUUCAUGGUCUGUAAAAGGGGAAUGACCCGAGCAGCACCUCCUCCAGGGGGCUGCUGCAGUCUGCACGUGCUCAGCAACAGGGAGCCAGGGCUACCUGCUGAAGUCCACAUCACUAACAGCUGGCCUGAUUGGCUCUUUCCUUUCUCCUUCUUUCAGAUACUGCUCGGUCCUGGAAUUUGGGGGCUCACUAUUUAGUCCUGCAGAAGCAGAACCUCUCUGAGCCCAAAACCCCUGCCCUGGUUGAGCACCUGCUUGGAACUGUGGUCACAAAUCAGACACCUGUGCUGGUAGGAAGCAAGGUGAGGCUGUGCAGGAGAGGGGCCACCUGACCAGCCAGAGGGCAGUGGCUGGAAGUCAGCACAGAAGGGAGGACUCACCUGUUGUGUUUGCCGUGCUCCUUGGUGGUUUGAGGGAUGAGACUGGAGGCUGAAGAGCAGCGGGUCCCUCUCUGCACUCCUGGUGCCAGGCCCUGCCCCUGAGUGGGGCACUGGUUCUCACUGUGGAGACCCAGCAGGGAGGGGCAGCCAGUGGCCACUGCCCAGGACUGUGGGCUCCUCUCUGGCAGAGCAAAGGCUGCUCACUGUGAAGAACAGAAAGGACAUGGUGGCGGCCUCUGUGGCUAAUGCAUGCUGUUGCUGUGGCUUGGUCACGACUUUUCCUCUGUGAAACUCCUGUUGAAAUUUAACACCCUGGGACACAGUGAGAGGUGGCACCAGGUGGGACCUCAAGAGGUGGUUAGGGCUGUGCCCUCAUGAGUGGAUUAACCCAUGACGUGAUUAAUGGAUUAGUGGACGAUCUUGAGAGCAGGUCUGCUAUAAAAACCAACAUGGCUCGGCCACUGGCACCUCUCUCAGGUGUGAUGCACGGCACCACCGCCGUACUCCGCUGUCCACAAGCCAUCGCCAGAUGCAGCUCCUCAAGACCUUGGACCAGAACCAUGAGUCAAGGUAAAACCUCUUCUCUUCAUAACUUGCCCAUUCUGUCUCGUGUUAUUAGCAACAGAUAAUGGACUAAGGUACCUGGCUUUUGCCUAGGCGCCUCCUGGGUCCUUGCCUCCCGGGUGCUACCCUGGUGAGUGCUAGGCUUGUGGGUUGGCGGUAGAGACCUGCUCUGAGAUGAAGACACAUCCUGUUCAAAUCAUGUCGCACUAAACCACGUGGGGGCCACUCCUCCCCUCCGGCUGAGAACACUGCCUGCAUCCUGGUGUCUGCAGUGCACAGACACUAAUAACCAAUCACACACGUGUGUGGGGCACAGGCCAAGGAGCCUGGAUGAAUGGGUGGCCCUGUCUGAACCUGAGCUCAGGUGAGUGCUCUUGGGCACUGGGUUUUGCCACUAGUAAUGUUGAUGCAGUGUCCUGUCUCAGUGUCCUGCUCUGACAUGCUUGGUCUGCUGUCUGCUCUGUGUCCUGUUGUGUUUUCUGGCACCUACAGGACAGACGUGACACAGCCAACUCACUCAAUAUGGCAGCAGGUGUGGCAAACAGAGCAGGCGUUGGGGUGAAAUCAGGUUCAUCUUGGCUGUUGCUCUGGGACCAUCGGGGCAGGCCGUCUUCAGACUUGUCCCUUACCCUCUUGGAGCUGGGCUGUCCUCCUCUGCUGAUUGGGGGAUGUACUUGGUCCCUCAGGGAGCCACAGGGACCAAGAGCCAGUGUGCAGGAUCUCUCUACACAGAGGCUCGGGUCCGCGGGGCUAGUGCCCACGAGGCUCUGGCCCAUGAGGCCAUUCCCUCCAGUGCCUGUGGACAGAGGGUCUGCGUGCUGGACUUGGGCCUCAGGGAGGACAAGGCCUGGUCUCAAUCAGUGCUUCUCUAAGGGGCCCAAGGACCACAGGGAGGGGUGUCUGAGGCUGCACCCCGAGAGGUUGCCAGGUGUAGUGGACAGCAGGGGAGAGAUGAACAUUCCCCAUUUAUUAACUGAGCAAACAAUUCAGUUCCUGGAUUCAGGGACUCAGCAAGGAAGAGGACAAUUGAGGCUCUGACCUCUGGCAGUUUGUGCUUUAGGGCGCAAUAGGCAGUUAUCUAAUAGAGGCAGCUGCCUCAACCAGGGGACCCAAGAGGGUCAGGAGAGGCAUCUCUUAGGAUGGACCCUGACUAACGUGACCGCAGCCUGGGGAGCCAGCGAACGGGUGCUUCCCCCAGAGCCUGGGUUCAAGGCCAAGUGGGAAGCAGCUUGGGGUGCAGGGCCACCCUGUGCUCCCGUGGGUGCACACUCACCUGGCAACUGCUGCCACGUGGACGUCUGUUCCAUAUGUGGGUCACCUCUAGGCAAAGGCAGAGUGGCCCAGGGAAAAGGCUGUGGCCCCGGGCCUCAUGGAAGUGGGCACUUGCUGCCUCUUGGAGGACAAGUUACUUCCUUCUCUCAUUUAUUCAAAGCCUCAAUUUUUCAUCUAAGACGUGGGAGAACGUCCUCUUACACAGCUGUGAGGAGCAUCAUGACUCCCAGAACCUGCACAGUGCUCCGAGCACAGAACCUGCUGAAGUGUGCACACCGCUCGUCCACGCGCACUCGUGCCAUGUGCAUUUAAGGACUCAAACACGCGUGUGUGUGUCUUGUGCUGCCUGCACUCGGGUGCACCCUGCCACGCACUCUCAGCCCUGCAGCUGACGCACUUCUUGAACCACAGAUUCAAUUAGAAUUUAUGAAAGAAACAAGGCAAAGGAGACAAACAUUCAUUAAAAUCUGAUCAUUUCUUGUUUCCACUUAGGGCUGUUUUUUGGAGCCAUCUGGGAACAAUUUAUGGAAGCCAUAAUUGUGCAUUAAAUAUUACGAUUUGUUCCAGACUCCAUCUAUGAAGUAAACAGUGGAGAGAUUUACUGUACAGUCAGCACAUCGGGCAGCCCUGCAGCUUUUCUGCCUUAAACACUUCUUCGUCCCCACGGCUCCUUCUGGAACCCGUUGGACAAAUAGACGCGGGGCUUCGGCAGACAUACUGCGCAGGAGCCAGAUGGCCUGUGUGGCAGCACCUCUGUCCAGAGACCUCGGGGUGAGGUUCGUGGAGAGGGAUGUGCUGGUUUUAACUGGGUUGAGUGUCCCUGGGCCCCCUGGGGAGGCAGUGGCUGACCCUGGGGAAGAGGAGAGUGAAGAACAGUGUGGGAUUGCACCCCUAUAUCUCAACUGCCACCAGCAGGGGACUUACCUUCCAGGGCUUGGCUUCUGGGCAGCAGGUGGCUGCCCACUGCUCCAGGCGCCCUGAGCUGUGGGGACACGUGGAGGUGAGGCGGGGUAGAAGUGGGUCAGUCUCUGAGUGGUGUGGUUUGGCUGCACAGACGGCUGCUGGCCUGAGGUUCAGUGGGAGAGCUGUCUUCUCAGGUGAGCGCACAGGGAGAGUUGUGCCUGCUGAAAGGCAGGAUGAGGAAGGGGGGGUCUCGGGAACUUGGGAGAAGCGGCU
rnacentral:lncRNA from 1 species